CAGCCUGGCUGCCGCAUUCUGUACCAACUGCAGUUUCCAGGCUAUGUACAAAGGCAAUCCCACAUAGAGUGCAUUGCAGUAGUCAUGUCUGGAGGUUACCAGCAUAUGUACCACUGUUCUGAGGUAGUAUAUCUCAAGAAAGAGAUGCAACUGGCAUAUAUUCUUCUGGGGAAGUGUGAUCCCAUUCAGAACCAGAAAAUCAAAAUUGUCUCCUGAAUUCUGACCCCGCACAAUAAGUAAAGUUGUGCCCUCGAGUCGGUAUCGACUCCUGGCGACCACAGAGCCAUGUGGUUUUCUUUGGUAGAAUAUAGGAGGGUUUUACCAUUGCCUCCUCCUGUGCAGAUGAUGCCUUUCAGCACCAUUCUAUAUCACUGCUGCCCGAUAUAGGUGUUUCCCAUAACAGUGGGGAUUCGAACCAGCAACCUCUUGCUCUCUAAGCAUGUCAUUUCCCCUCUGUGCCAUUAGGUGGUACCUCUAUCUUAUUUGGAUUCAGUCUCAGUUUGUUAUCCCUUACUUUCAAAUCUAUAUAACCAGAAUUGAGAGGAGGGGGAAAGGGGGGAAAAUGGUAAAAAUGAUUCCAGCACAUACAUAAUUUACAACACACAGUGGGGAAAACCCUCACAGUCCAAUAAUGCAGUUGGGUCAGACCUGUCCCUCACUCCACUCUUUUCCUGAAGAAAGUUGAUAUUCUAUUCCUGCUUCUCUUAUCUUCCUGCUUGUCUUCUUUCUCUCACUUCUAAUCCUCUCACUUCAGAACUUAAAUAUUUUUCUCUUGUUCCCUUCUCUUCCCUCAGUCCAGCUCAUCCCUCAGAAUCCACACUACAGUAAUCCCAAAAGUCCAAAAGGCCCAUUUGCCCUUCUACUCCAAUGGGGGGCUCUAUUCAUAGGGUUACAGGCACAAUGGUUACUUUCUAGGAAGGUGGUCCCCCCUCCUCGGCCCACAUCUGGCCUGUCAUGCUUCUCACAGCAGGUAGGGACUUGCUGUUUCCAUUUUUAAAAAAGACAAAACUACCACGGCAACAACAACGUUGCACAAAAAAGAACAGAAUAUCCAGGAGAUCGGGCUAGGCUAGAACCCUGCCUUAACUGAAAAGUUAGUUUUUCAUGUGGAGGGAAUGUCCCUCGUAUGGAGGAGCCAUCUAUCACAUGAACCCUCACCUGCAAUCAGAGAUGUGGAAAGAAGGAAGUGACAAACUGAGGAAAUGUCAAGGAGGAGAGAAAAUGAGAGUCUGAAGGCAGAUGAUGCAGGAACUUCACUGAAGCUAAGCCCUCCAUGGGAACCUGAGCCAGGGGCAUAACAAGGCUGGAGUGGGCCCAGAGACAAAAUUUUUAAAUGGGCCCCUCGCUGAUACACACACACACACACACACACACACACACUUGACAAAAUAUAGUCAUGUGACUUGACUCUGGGGGGCCCCUCGAGGCGUGGGGGGCCCCAGGCAGCCACCUCCCUAUGCCUAAUAGUGGUUACGCCCCUGACCUGAGCACUGAGUGCCUCCGGAACAUUUAAAAGGUAAGAUAUAAUACUCUGCUGCUAUACAGUGCUUUUUAGGGCAUUCAAAGCAUUUCCCACAUUCUAUCUUGCAGUAAUCCUUACAACAAUCCUGAACGGGAGGCUGGUAUUCUGACUACCAUAUUGUGGGUGGGGCCAAGGAUGAUGGAGUGGCUUACUGAGGGUCAUUAACUGAGCCCAUAGCAGCAGUAAGAUCUGAACCUCGGGCUUUCUGAUUCAUAGUCUCUUAGACAAUGUACUGCACCACUGCUCUUAUGGGUGCCCCUUCACUUCCUGAAUGACAGGAAUAAAAAGGUGCCAGGUAUAAUAGUAAGAGGACCACAGGCUUCUAGAUCCUGCAAGACCCGGAGUCUUCCAUUUGACAGCGAUUAGCUCUCACUACUGAGAUCUGGUGCUAGCAGUUAUGAAACCUGAUAGCCGAUCAUCUCGGGCUUUCAUGUAAACCCUAAAGAAAUGUCCAAUGGCUAGCUAGACUUGAAAACAAAUGGCUAGCUAGACUUGGUUUCCCCUUUUGAAAGUCAAGGUGAAGAAGACUGAUGUUUUGAUGUAUUGGUUGCUAUCUGUAGGGAGCUUGUGAAAACUGGCUUUCUACCAGGCUGGUUGAACUGAGUUUCCCUUCAUUAACUCUGGUGUGAGUGGUGUCCCCUGGUCUGCUUUGCUGCCUCUGUCAUGACAUCACUUUCUGGCUCCUACAUCAUAACCUGCAGGUUGCCAUAGGAACAGCAAUACACUUUUUUUUUGGCAUCAUCACUAUUCAGUGGUUUAUUUCUCAGCUGAUGCUCAAUCAGUAGGGAGUGGAGGACGUGGUCUGUGUGGUUAUAUACAUAUAUAUAUAUAGUAUUUUAGUCUCUCUUGAGGACAUCUCUCAUCAUGGCAGGGGCAGAGGAGGAAAAGCCUAGUGGGAGGAGGCCCAUCACCUCCAGCAGCCUCAUGGUGGCUCGGAAGCUGCUGCUGUCUCCCCUGCUGCGGGAGCGUGGGGCUGCUUCCGGGAAGGACACCCUUUUCUUUGAUGGGCCAGCCCCUGUGGCUGGCCCAUCAAAGAAAAGGGUGAAGCACCCCAAAACAUCAAAGAGGCAGCCCCCCGCAGAAAGCAGCAGCAAGGGGAAGCCACCACAGGAGGGCAGACCAUCAGCCCUCCUGGGCAAGGCCGGUCUGCGUCGGGCUAACAAGGCACCAGGUGGGGGUGUGCCUUCUGGGGAGAAACCCCUUCCCCACCUGGGGGAGGGGAGACUCCCCAGAAGGAGGCUGGAGGCUGCGGGGGAUACAGCCAGGAGAUUGCUGCACAUCCCCAGGAGCAACCUGAGUCUGCACCUUGGGGAGGCUGGGCAGGGCGUCUCCCCGCUGGGGGGGAACCGUUUCUCGGGCUUGUCCCGAGAGACGGUUCUUCCCCAGAUCCCUUCAACUGGGAAGACGACCCUGACCCCAAUGGGGAGACCCCCGCCAAAGCCCUUGCCAUCAUGGCAACAUCCAUCUGCUUGGCGGGGGCCCGAACCAUUGCCAGCGCUCAUGAUCAAAGCGCUGGGGCCCCCCAAGGCAGACACAGAGCCUUGCUCCUGGGGACAUCCCCCCUCAGUCUCCAGCUCUGUGGCCAAACCACCGCCACCACACUUCCCACCGAAGCCACGCCCUUGGGAAGAACCACCAUCUCAUCUUUCCCAAGGGCCGUGGCUUCAGGUGCGAGCCCUACGCAGACCGGCUGAUGUGCCGGUGGCAACCCCUUGGCGGUGAGACAGCAGCAGUGGAAGGCCACCACCCAAAAUACCAUCGUCGGGGCUGCUGGAGGACCUCCACUAGGUCUCGCCCAUUCUGCCUUGCCAUGAUGGGAGAACUGGUUCUUCGCUGCCCUUGGGAUGAAUCACCAUCUCAACUUUCCCAAGGGCCGUGGCUUCAGGUGCAAGCCCUACAGAGACCAGCUGAUGUUCCGGUGGCAACACCUUGGCAGUGAGACAGCAGCAGUGGAAGGCCACUACCCCAAAUACCAUCAUCUGGGCUGCUGGAGCACCUCCACUAGGUCUCGCCAGUUCUGCCUUGUCAUGAUGGGAGAACUGGUCCUUUGCUGCCAUGAACCAAAGUGAGGACCCCUGUCCACUCUGGAUGAGACCUCUUCUGAGGAGCAGCAUUGGGUACAGAACCUGGACGUACUUCAGACCUCAGACGAUCCAGGACCCCCAAGAUCAUCUCAUGCCCCAAGGCCUGACGACUCACCAUUACCACCAGACACAGUGGGAUGCCACCACCCCAAAUACCAUCAUCUGGAGGACUCACCAUUACCAGUAGACUCGGAUUCUGAGGGGUCAGCAAGGUGUAGAUACUGGAGCCUAAGAAGCAGGAAUAACACCAUCACUGAAUGGAAUUAACAGGAAGGACAGAAGAAAUUAGUAACUAUGGAAGCAGAUUGGCAGCCUUUCUUUGUCUUUCCAGAAGAGGGACAGGAAGGGAUGCUCUUGGACAGCCACAGGCUAGUCUUUCCUCUCUAGAUCUGCUCAGCAUCCUGAAUACUUCCCCAGAGAAGAGAAUGAAGAAUGAAGGACAGCUGGGUUGCCUGGAAAACUGAGCGUCAUCUGUGGAGCUUCGUUUCCAUAGCAGCUCUGAUUCAAGUGGGAAAGUCUUGAAACUGUCUUAUGGACUGUGACAGAGGAAAUACAACCUCCAUUUUGUGUCGGGACAUUCCUGUGCAUAUCGGAAAGACUUCAGCACUUUUUGUGCAUCACAGAAGAUAGGCUUCAGGAUCCAGACUAGGAGCUAAGGUCAAAGGAUUCAUCUCUUGGGUUGGUUAUCUAAAAAAUGUCGAUCCAUUUAACGUGGGAUGUAAACAGUGAAUUGGUUUCUAUACAUGUUUGUCUUUGCUUGUUGAAUGUGUACCAUUUACAUUUGUCUUGGUAGCCUGUUUUGCAACAUUUAAGUAUGUUGUGUAUAUAUAUAUAUCCUUUCAAUGUUCUGAGGAGAAAAUAACACACUUGGCAGACUGAAAUUGUGGCAACUUGUGAAUAAACCAUCCUCUGGUUA